rnacentral:rRNA from 1 species
GACGAACGCUGGCGGCGUGCUUAACACAUGCAAGUCGAACGGAAAGGCCCUGCUUUUGUGGGGUGCUCGAGUGGCGAACGGGUGAGUAACACGUGAGUAACCUGCCCUUGACUUUGGGAUAACUUCAGGAAACGGGGGCUAAUACCGGAUAGGAGCUCCUGCUGCAUGGUGGGGGUUGGAAAGUUUCGGCGGUUGGGGAUGGACUCGCGGCUUAUCAGCUUGUUGGUGGGGUAGUGGCUUACCAAGGCUUUGACGGGUAGCCGGCCUGAGAGGGUGACCGGCCACAUUGGGACUGAGAUACGGCCCAGACUCCUACGGGAGGCAGCAGUGGGGAAUAUUGCACAAUGGGCGGAAGCCUGAUGCAGCAACGCCGCGUGCGGGAUGACGGCCUUCGGGUUGUAAACCGCUUUCGCCUGUGACGAAGCGUGAGUGACGGUAAUGGGUAAAGAAGCACCAGCUAACUACGUG